GACGAACGCUGGCGGCGUGCUUAACACAUGCAAGUCGAACGGAAGGGCCCUGCUUUUGUGGGGUGCUCGAGUGGCGAACGGGUGAGUAACACGUGAGUAACCUGCCCUUGACUUUGGGAUAACUUCAGGAAACUGGGGCUAAUACCGGAUAGGAGCUCCUGCUGCAUGGUGGGGGUUGGAAAGUUUCGGCGGUUGGGGAUGGACUCGCGGCUUAUCAGCUUGUUGGUGGGGUAGUGGCUUACCAAGGCUUUGACGGGUAGCCGGCCUGAGAGGGUGACCGGCCACAUUGGGACGGAGAUACGGCCCAGACUCCUACGGGAGGCAGCAGUGGGGAAUAUUGCACAAUGGGCGGAAGCCUGAUGCAGCAACGCCGCGUGCGGGAUGACGGCCUUCGGGUUGUAAACCGCUUUCGCCUGUGACGAAGCGUGAGUGACGGUAAUGGGUAAAGAAGCACCGGCUAACUACGUG
rnacentral:rRNA from 1 species